rnacentral:lncRNA from 1 species
AGACUGUGUUUCUUUUCUCAGGUUUCCACUCCCAGGGAUGAACACACCGACCUUAUUGAUGGCUGUGAUUUAACCAUCGGGGGGGACACCGUGGCUCAUUCCUAUUAACUACAUAUCCCCGGGCAAGUUCCUGGACGGCUCUGAGCAUCAGCGUCUCCAUCUUUAAAACGGGGACAAAACUUCCUCGUAGGAAACGUGGGAUGAUCCAGAUGUACAAGGGGCUCUUGAGGGAGAGGGAGGGUCACAGCCACUGGGGGCUCUUUUUCACUGUGUAACUGUCCCUCCCUCUCAGUUAUUUCAGGUGGUUUUCCAGAGGCCGACUCUGAGAUGUGCAGGGGGUGACCGUGGUGAAGGGGUGGAGGGAGGCCACGCAAAGUCCCAGAGGGUGAUCUUGGCUGAGUUCCCUGGGGGAGCUUGGGGCCCGUGAGUGACAACUCGGCUUCAUGGGUGAGGAGCAGGGAGCUGGGGUGUUGAUACCCGGCACGGCCUGCCGUCUCUGAGGUCUCCCGAUGCCAAGCGAGGCCUUCCUGCCGUGAGACACAGGCCCCGGCUGUUGGUGGCAAAACACACCCUGGGAAAGGGACGGAGGAGCUGUGGGGGGAGCACCCCCGGGUGUCACUCACCCACAGAAUGGACGUGACGUGGACAUUGACCUUCACAGAGGAGGAGGGCUGGCGCAGGCGUGCUGGUGGGCUCGGAGGCCGCUCCCUUCUGAGUGAGCUGGCCCUCUUGUCCGGGGCGCUCUCCUUGGAGCCGCAGGUUUACAAGGCACUUCUGCGCACCCAGAGGCUGCACACCCUGAGGCUCGACAUGCUCAGCUCCAAACCCGGGAGCGUUGGUUCACCAUCCCAGCCUGGGGAAUCACGAUUCCCACCUGGAGGACCUUUGCACGGGGGGCAUUUCACCAGGCCCCAGGCUGGCCAGGCCCCGUUCGCUAGCCCAGGCUCGCGCAGUGGAGGGAAGGGAGUGGUUUUCCUGGUGGCCCACCUGGGAGGGUUGAAAGGCAGGCUGGGGGUCACCGCGGGCAAAACUCCC